CCACUCCAAACAUCAAAGUUUAAGUAGAAACAUUUAAUUUGACUUGGAAACCUUUCAUCUCAUAAAAAUUGAGCAAGUUAUGGUCUUGGGAAGUUGACUUUCAAAUUAGGGUUUAAACAAAAUGACCUAUAAUGUUUCAACAUAGAAAAUGUUUUUUCAAACAAAACUAGCUCUAGGUCUCAACAUGAAAGUUGUUUGGAAUGUUAUUUAGAGUAAGUUUUCUCUUGUAAUUAUUUUCAUAUGGUGAAAAUUGUAGGAGAUAGGGUCUAGGGAGACCUAGCUUUGAUCAAAUGAAUUCAUCUGGCCAACCACCAUCAACCAACUUGCUAACUUCUAAUUCUCUUGACUUUCUUAGUUCAUGGUAGAUAAUAUAUGCCUAAGAUGAUGAAUUUUGAAGUGUACUUAGAGAAAUUUGAUCAAUUGGUGAGAUAGCUUGUUGGAGAAGUUACUCAAGAUACCCAGUCAAACUAGGGUUUCCAAGGCAAAUCACCCUCAAACUCUUGAAGAAGACUUGAUCAAUAUAACAUGUAGAGAACAUUGGGACUCAUAUAUGAUGCUCAUAACCAUUCUUGGAUAAAUUCUUGGUUGUGCUCUUUGUUCAUGAGGGUCUCAAACCCUAGAUGUGAACUUGAUGAAUCAAUGGGAUCAUGUGUUUCCUACAAAAGAGUUAGGCAAAUACAAAGACAUAUUUUUGAUAUUUUGGUUAGUGAAAUGAUAAAAUACAAGUAUGAUACAAUCACAAAGUGCUUGGUGAUCUCUCCCAGAACAAACCCAAUGAAGUCCUACAAAAGAGUUAGGCAAAUACAAAGACAUAUUUUUGAUAUUUUGGUUAGUGAAAUGAUAAAAUACAAGUAUGAUACAAUCACAAAGUGCUUGGUGAUCUCUCCCAGAACAAACCCAAUGAAGGAUGGGUAAGGAGAAUGCCAAGGUAUGAUCCCAAUGUUAAUGCUUAUGAUGAAAUUACAUGAGGGAUCUUACUGUCAAAAUUGGGGUCUUACAGCUGCCCCAAUUUAAGGACAUUCUAACUGAGGAGGCGAAGGUUAAAAUCUUCAUGUCGACUCAGUAGAAUGGGCUUAAAUAACAACAUAGAGAAACAAAUUUUGGUCCCUAAGAGACCUCAUGAUACAUAUGACAUGAAUGCAAAAGUUAAUGCUCUAUGGGGAAAUAUUUCCACAAAGGAAAAAAAGGAUCAGAGAGACCGAAAAUCCGCAGGAGUAUAAUGCAUUCCGUAAGGAAAACUCACUGGGGAGACCGAGACUCUAGGGGGAUAAAAGAGGUUAUGCGUAGGCAAGGCUACGACUUAAAAACUGCUGGGGGACUCGAGGAAUUCCAUAUAAAAUGGAAAGACUCAGCCAGGGAAUAACAACAUUUGCAGGGAAUAUCAGUAAGGCGGGAUAAAACUGAGGUACUCGACUCAUGCAGGGGAAAAACAAUUUCACUAAGGAAAUACGUACUCAACUCAACUGGGGAAGAUAAACUUCAACACAGGAGGAGCAUAAAUCUAUUAUCCACUACCGGUUACUGGGUAAGGAGAUAAUAAAGAUCUGACAGAGAGAACAUCCGUCAUCGAUUAGGAUGAACAUAUCAAGGAUGACUCGCUAAGGAUUGCCAGGAGGGAGUAUUCACUACCGGUUACUGGGUAAGAAUAGCCUUGCUGGGAAAAAUUACAUAAAAUAGGAUUUACAACUACCAGUUACUGGGUAGAAAACCAAGGGUGAGAGUAUCCGUCAUCGGUUAGGAUGAACAUAUCAAGGAUAAACUCAACAGGGAAGAAAAUCCGUCAUCGGUUAGGAUAAACAUAUCAAGGAUAGACUUGCUUGGAAAUGUCAAGGAGGAUACCCAUCAUCGGUUAGGAUGAACAUAUCAAGGAUAUACCAACUGAACAGAAAGGGAUUACAUCUAUCGACUGCUGGAUAGAAGACCAUCAGAGAGAAAAUCCGUCACCGGUUAGGAUGAACAUAUCAAGGAUAGACUCUUUGAGGAGGAAAAUAGGAUUUAUGACUACCGACUACUGGGUAGAAAACCAUCAGAGAGAAAAUCCGUCACCGGUUAGGAUGAACAUAUCAAGGAUAGACUCUGCGAGGAGGAAAAUAGGAUUUAUGACUACCGGCUACUGGGUAGAAAACCAAUUAAAGAGAAAAUCCAUCACCGAUUAGGAUGAACAUAUCAAGGAUAGACUCUGAAUAGGGGACAAAGUAGGAUUUACAACUACCGGUUACUGGGUAGAAAACCACAAGGAGAAGAAAACCCGUCAUCGGUUAAUAUGAACAUAUCAAGGAUUAACUCUCUGGGGAACAAAAUAGGGAUUACAACUACCUUUUUACUUGGUAGAAUACUAAAAAGAGAAAAUCCAUCAUCGGUUAGGAUGAACAUAUCAAGGAUAUACUUCUUGGGGAAUAGAUCCACUGGGGACUCUACCGAGGAGAAAAAAGGGUACUUUUGUCGGAUAGUGGGCAAGAAGUAACAAACUGCAAACUAAGAAGAAUAUUACCAUUUACUGGGUAAUAGACUCUCAGGGGACCAAAGCAUCUAUCUAGGCAAGAGCUAGGAAGAAAACAGGCAAUCAAGACUCAACCCAAUAAGGACAUAAAUCAAGAGAAGUAAUUCCAUCCAGAUAAUCAACUGGGGAGGAAACUGAAAUAACAAUCAUCCACAAGGAAACAAAAUCAGUGAGGAAAAGGAGAAAGGUUAGAGUCUUUCUUCUUAAGGGGCUGACACUCUACAAUUGAAGGAGGACAGACACCAAAUUUGGUAUGAGGAUAAAAUACCACCAUAAUGGAGAAUAAGAAUCUCAAACAAAUCAAAUAUGAAGAUGCAUGAUAUGCAAUUAUGACAUUAUAUAAAUAUAUAUGUAUAUGUAUAUAUGAUGAUUAUGUUGACAAAACGAUCACAAAGGAUACAAAGGUGUCGCAAAGAAUUUGAACCAUCGGUACAAUCCUCGGUCAUUCCACAAAAUAUGGAGACAAUUGCUGGAGAACGAAGAGAUCAACAUCCCAAAGGUUCAAACCUAGUUGGGGAAGGAGGAGAUCUGCUGAGGACAGAACAUCCAAUAUGUGGGGAAUUUUAGGUCAACACCAUAAAAAUGGGAGACAACCGUACAAAGAAUAAUCAUAACAAAAGCUGCUCAGAAACCAGGAGGAAACUCUGACUGGGAGCAAGUUGAAUAUCGAUUGGUGGGGAAACCAAUGCGAUCUACUGGGGAAGACAACCACCUCUGAAGAUCAACCCUGCUGAGGAAAUACGAACUUUGUUGGGUGUCGUACCCCAAUUUUGUCCGGGCAUUUUUAAUUUCUAGUAGAAUUAAUUUCAUUUCGAUUUUAGCAUCAUACGCAUAGCAUGACAUACAUCGCAUCAUGAAUAACACCUGAAAUGUCAGUCAGAAUAAACUUAUUUGAAGAUACAGAAAAAUCGGUUGAAUCGUCAAAAUUUGAUAAAAUACUGUAUUUUUAAUAAGUAUGUUUUGUCUUGACAAUUUUAGUGUGACCAGUUCUUUUUGUACUCAAUUUCUAUUUUUUAACUGGUCAAAUAUUUAAAUUUUAGUUAGUUGUAAAUAUCAGCUAUUUUAAUUAAAUGUUAGUUGAUUUUUUUUAGUUACUUAAUUAAGUUAGUUAGUUUUUAAAAUAUUUUAAUUAAUUUUUAUAUAUUAGUUAGAUUUUGUAAAAUAUUAGUUAGAGCUUUUAAAAUAUUAAUUAGUUUUUUAUUAGUUAAUUUUCUUAUAUAAAUAUUAGUUAUUUUAAAUAGUAGUUAUUAGUUAGUGUUUUAAAAAAAUAUUAGUUAUUUAAUUAAGAAUUAGUUAGUUUUUAAUAUUGGUUAGUUUUUAAUUAUUAGUUAGAUUUUUGAACAUUAAUUAGUUUUUUUUUAGUUUAGUAUUAAUUAGUUUUUUUGAUUUAUUGUAAAUAAUAAAAUAUAAAAGGGGUAUGUAUAUAUUAUACGUUGGAUCAAAUUCACUAAAAACAAAAACUCAGUCAGUAACAAAUUCCUAACGUUUUUCUCCAUUGUCCCUGCCCCACUACUAACAACCUCUCCACUCUCAUUCCACUCACUAACAACAACCCACUCUCAGAUUCUCUCUCUGCUCUCACCUACAAAAACCAUUCACACUCAGUAAACACUCACGAAAACGCUCUCUCACUCUCAGCUAAAAAAAAACACUCCUCACAAUCCCUAAACUCUCCAAAUCUCUCACUCUCAACUCUCAGCUAAAAAACCUAGCCGCCGCUUCACAAAACCAACCCUCUCCGUCUGAACCCACAAACCCUUCGCUCUUCAUAUUCCUCUUCAUCAACACCAAACCCUACCACGCCGCCGCACAAACAUGCCUCCGCCAUCUUCACCGUCUUCGUCACCUACUCAAACCCUUUACCUUCCAUCAAACCCUUCAACUCCCGUCACAAACCCUCUACUCCGCCGUCAAAACCCAUCUUCAAAACUCUAGACCUCCGCCGUUAACCCCCUUUCACCAUCCUAAACCCUAACCACCGUGAAACGUUACCCUUAACCGCUCUUCACCUUCGUCAACAAAUCAAUCGCGUCGCCGCUCAACACCAAUUCCCUCGCCUCUGUUCGUACUGGAUCCGCUUCAUCAUCACCGAGGAUUCCUUUCGGUUCCGUUUCCGCAUGCCAGACGACAACUCGAGGCUCAAUCGGUGACUCAACCAACCUAGUAUUCUCAACUUCUGGUGUAAUCUGAGUCGUGGAGGUAGUUAUGUUGUUCUUUGUCUAUUGUCUCACUUCACUGGCUUGUAGUGGUAAUUUGUUUUAAUAGGUUUGUAUGACUAGAUCUUUAAUUUAGCACUAUGUUUGUAUAUUAGUGAUUGAUAUCAUUUAGGUUCACUUGAAGCUUGGUAUUGUUACUGUUAGCUAAUCUGCUAUUGCGUAUUUCCUGUUGCUAUGACUACCAUGUUUCUUUUGUUUUUUAUAAAAACAACACAGUGAUGUUUCCUCUCUUGUUUAUCUCACCUGUUUGCACUGAUAAAGAUAAUGUGUAUAUUUAAAGAUGGUUUGUAUUAGGUAGUAUGGUUUGUAUUUCCUAUGGGCCUUCUUUGAUUCUAAUUAUUAGAUAGGGUUUUAAGUAUGAUACCGUGGUAGGUUUGUACUACUCUCACAUUGACGGAACCAUUCAUCAUUCUAGUGUUAAACGUUACAAAUGGCAUUGUGUUAAUGUUGUUUUUUAAGCAUAUGGCAUUGUGUUAAUAUUCUGUUAAUUAAUAUUCUGAUAAUAUGUUAUGUAUAACCUUGGAUGGUUUCUAAGUGAUGGCAAUUCCAUCAUAAUGUUUGUUUGACUUGCAAAUUAUCGGGACUUUUAAUAUUUUAAGCACAUGAUGCCUACUUGGUUUUAGUCACAUUAAACCAAACUUGUUUUAGUGAUCGACUAAUUCAGUUUUUUGUUUAAGUCACUUGUUGUGAUGAUCGAUUACCUUGGGAAUUUUAGUUAACAUAUAAUUUGGAGGUGGAAUUUUUUUUUUGGUCAAUUAGGUGGUUUGUUUCAAUUCCAAUCAAAUACUUCAUUAAUUAAAUAUUGACCGAAUUAUUUUAUCAUGAUGUCAACCUCUUACAAAAUAAAAUUCAUUCCAAUCUUG
rnacentral:lncRNA from 1 species